rnacentral:rRNA from 1 species
UCCGAAGGGGGCUAGCGUUGCUCGGAAUUACUGGGCGUAAAGCGCACGUAGGCGGACUUUUAAGUCGGGGGUGAAAUCCUGGAGCUCAACUCCAGAACUGCCUUCGAAACUGAAAGCCUUGAGUUCGGGAGAGGUGAGUGGAACUGCGAGUGUAGAGGUGAAAUUCGUAGAUAUUCGCAAGAACACCAGUGGCGAAGGCGGCUCACUGGCCCGAUACUGACGCUGAGGUGCGAAAGCGUGGGGAGAAAACAGG